UACGUAGGGUGCGAGCGUUAAUCGGAAUUACUGGGCGUAAAGCGCGCGUAGGUGGUUCAGUAAGUUGGAUGUGAAAUCCCGCAGCUCAACUGCGGAACUGCCUUUGAUACUGGGUAUCUUGAGUAUGGAAGAGGUAUGUGGAACUCCGAGUGUAGAGGUGAAAUUCGUAGAUAUUCGGAAGAACACCAGUGGCGAAGGCGACAUACUGGCUCAUUACUGACGCUGAGGCUCGAAAGCGUGGGGAGCAAACAGG
rnacentral:rRNA from 1 species